rnacentral:rRNA from 1 species
UGGGGAAUUUUCCGCAAUGGGCGCAAGCCUGACGGAGCAACGCCGCGUGAGGGAGGAAGGCCUGUGGGUUGUAAACUUCUUUUCUCUAGGAAGAAGGUCUGACGGUACUAGAGGAAUCAGCAUCGGCUAACUCCGUGCCAGCAGCCGCGGUAAGACGGAGGAUGCAAGCGUUAUCCGGAAUUAUUGGGCGUAAAGCGUCCGUAGGCGGUUAUUUAAGUCUGCUGUCAAAGACCACAGCUCAACUGUGGGCGGGCGGUGGAAACUGGGUAACUAGAGUUCGGUAGGGGUAGAGGGAAUUCCCAGUGUAGCGGUGAAAUUCGUAGAUAUUCGGAGGAACACCAGUGGCGAAGGCGGCUCACUGGCUCGAUACUGACGCUGAGGUGCGAAAGUGUGGGGAGCAAACAGGAUUAGAUACCCGCGUAGUCC